rnacentral:rRNA from 1 species
UACGUAGGGUGCGAGCGUUAAUCGGAAUUACUGGGCGUGAAGCGUGCGCAGGCGGUUUUGUAAGUCAGAUGUGAAAUCCCCGGGCUUAACCUGGGAACUGCGUUUGAAACUACAAGGCUAGAGUGUGGCAGAGGGGGGUGGAAUUCCACGUGUAGCAGUGAAAUGCGUAGAGAUGUGGAGGAACACCGAUGGCGAAGGCAGCCCCCUGGGUUAACACUGACGCUCAGGCACGAAAGCGUGGGGAGCAAACAGG